GACCACUGUGUAAAACGAAAGAGGAAGAACAGAUAUUCUGAAAUAUUUACAUGUUUUUUUUUUUUUUCUCUGCAGAUUCCUUUAAGUGAAGCAACCAUAGCUUGGAUUUAAUUGUGUAACCUUGAUACUUAGUGCCAAGCCCUUCAGAUCGCUACUAGAUUUGGCAAGGUUAAAAGAUCGGUCCUUAAAUAAGAUGAUUUUUUUCCAUUCACUGUCUACCUGAAAAACUGGUGAGACAAGACAGUGUUUAAUUCUGCUGCUUCUAUAAGGAAUUUACAUUGUGGCUUUAUACUCGGAGAGCCAACCUGUUCCUUAACCUGGUAAGAGUACUAGUGGACAUUGUGACAGGUAAUUCAAAUUCAGCUUAUUCCUACUGCUGAUGACAAAUAAAUAAAGACAUAGCACACUUCUUAGCUUUAAACACAACCACUGAAACAUUGCAAAUUUCUUUAUUAAAGGAAGUACACGUUUUCAGGUUCUUAUUAAUUAAGCGUCAUGCUGAAGUAAAUUAGUCUUUGGUAAAACACACCUUUGUAUACGAAUCAAGUGAUCUUUGUAUGAGCA
rnacentral:lncRNA from 1 species